rnacentral:rRNA from 1 species
CACGUAGGGGCCAAGCGUUGUCCGGAUUUAUUGGGCGUAAAGAGCUCGUAGGCGGUUCAGUCAGUCGGGUGUGAAAUCUCCGGGCUUAACUCGGAGGGGCCACCCGAUACUGCUGUGACUUGAGUCCGGUAGGGGAGUGGGGAAUUCCUGGUGUAGCGGUGAAAUGCGCAGAUAUCAGGAGGAACACCGGUGGCGAAGGCGCCACUCUGGGCCGGUACUGACGCUGAGGAGCGAAAGCGUGGGUAGCAAACAGG